rnacentral:misc_RNA from 1 species
AUAUUUAUAAUGGAAGGCAUAAGACAUAUGGAAUAGCAUAAAUUAAGGAUUCUCCACUAUACCUUUAAUUAAAGCUUCUCCAUUGUGCGAGAUCCCUUGAAUUAAGGGAGAAUCUCGUCAAUUCCAACAACUAGAAGAAAUCUUUUUUAGAAAGUUGAGCUUUAUGUCUUUCACAUAUAAAAGUAUGGUGUUGCCUGUAAUCUCAUAGUGUGAUCAUGUGUUUUCACUUGUUAUGUCUCCUUUGUAAUUGAAGAUCCACUGUUUAGUGUUUCAGCAUACUAUGGAUGAGAGUGAAUCUCAUGUUUUAUUGCAGAGUUUUUAUGUAGACACUAAAUCCUACUGGUUGGUUCUUUAAAAGAAUUUAUGUACCCG